UUACGGCCACAUCAUGUCGAAACCUCGGUUCCCGUACGAUCACCGAAGAUAAGGAAUGUUGAAUUUGAUCAUUACCUAGAUGGGUGACCGCUCGCGAAUACCAUGUGCUAU